rnacentral:misc_RNA from 1 species
UUCGUUUUCGACAGAACAUGUGACGUCACGGUGAUCCGCCAGCAACCCAAGAAAUAAUUUUGACGUAUUUAUCUUUUGUGAUUUAGGCAAAUGUGAGCCGUAAAAAUGGCGGAUUUCUUUAAGUCAGCUUUUGGAUAUUUAAGCGGUGGCCAGGGCCGCAUAGACAGUGAUUUUGUAGGGCAAAGUGUUGAGUUGGGAGACCAAAAAUUGCGAGUUAAGAAAGUGAUAGCAGAAGGUGGCUUUGCCUUUGUGUUUGUGGCACAGGACAUAAGCAGUGGAAAGGAAUAUGCCCUUAAGAGACUACUUGCGAAUGAUGAGGAGAAGACAAAGGCCAUCAUGACAGAGAUCAGAUUUCUUAAGAAAUUGUCUGGCCACCCCCACAUAGUCCAGUUCAUCACUGCAGCAGCUAUUGGAAAGGAGGAGUCUGACCAUGGCCAGCAUGAAUACCUCCUGCUCACUGAGCUGUGUUCAGGUGGGGAGCUAGUGCACAUUCUGAAUGCUCGGUCAUCCCCUCUGCCCCGUGACCAGGUGCUAAAGGUGUUCUACCAGACUUGUAAGGGUGUGCAGCAUAUGCACAAGCAGAAACCACCUAUAGUACACCGGGACCUCAAGAUUGAGAAUCUGCUGGUGAGCGCCCAGGGACUGAUCAAGGUGUGUGACUUUGGCAGUGCCACAACUGAGACCUACCUGCCAGACAACUCAUGGUCAGCAAUCAAGAGGAGCCUGGUGGAGGAUGAGAUUGCCAAGAACACAACACCAAUGUACCGAGCCCCCGAGAUGCUGGACCUGUACCAGAACUUCCCUAUUAAUGAGGCAGGCGACAUAUGGGCAUUGGGUUGUGUCCUAUUCAAGCUGUGUUUCAUGGACCAUCCAUUUGAGGACUCGGCCAAACUGAGGAUCAUCAAUGCCAACUACAGCAUACCAGACACAGACACAGACACAGACACAGACACAGAGUACUCUGUGUAUCAUGAUCUUAUAAGAUCCAUGCUGCAGGUGGACCCAACUCAGCGGCCCGACAUAUCCGACAUCAUCGACCGCCUGCAGGCUAUUGCUGCAGUCAGUAGAGUGAACCUGAAAGAAACACUACAGAUUGGAGAUGUAACAGUUACUCCCAGUCAAGAACCUGCAUCAAGGCCUCCUAUGAACAACCCGGGGACUCCACAGAGGUCAGCACCAUCACCUGCCCAGUCAAGUGCCACAGCCCUUUUCUCCAGCCUCCGUGGAGGUGCUGGUAGUCUAGUGAAGAACAUCAAGGAUGCUUCUAGCAAGGUCAUGGAGACUGUGUCAGCAACAAUGAACAAAUCCGAUCUUGACUUUUCCUACAUCACAUCCAGGCUCUCAGUCAUGUCGUAUCCAGCAGAAGGCAUGGAGUCUGCCAUCAAGAACCACAUUGAUGAUGUGCGGGCCUUCCUAGAGAACCGGCACCACAACUCCUAUGCUGUCUAUAACCUGUCACAAAGAUCCUACAGAGUGGCCAAGUUUGAAAAUAGGGUGUCUGAAUGUGGCUGGGCUCAGAAGAAGGCUCCAACACUAGCUAACCUGUUUGCCAUAUGCAAGAACAUGCACCUGUGGCUACGGCAGAACCCCAAGAACAUCUGUGUUGUCCACUGUCUGGACGGCAAGGCCCAGUCAGCCACAGUCAUUGGAGCAUUGCUGGUGUUCUGUCGCCUGUUCGACAGUGCAGAGACAGCUCUGCAUAUGUUCACUGCCCGCAGGCUGGCCCCGGGCGUCUCACCAUCUCAGAAAAGGUACAUUAACUACAUGAGUGAGAUGGUGUCUGACGAAGAAGUGAAGCCCCACAGCCGGCCAGUGAUGCUGUCCCAGCUGGUCAUGUCACCGGUGCCUCUUUUCAACAAGAUGAAGAAUGGCUGCACACCGUUUGUGGAGGUGUAUGUUGGAGAUGACCGUGUGUUGACCACUUCCCUGGAGUAUGAGCGUAUGAGACAGUUCACCACUGAGGAUGGAGCAUGUCGGGUUCCCCUUAAUGCAUCCUGUACAGGAGAUGUGACUGUUGUCGUCUACCAUGCCAGGUCAACAUUUGGAGGCAAGAUCCAGGGAAAGAUAACCUCCAUGAAGAUACUUCAACUACAGUUCCACUCUGGUUUCAUUGCUCCAGGCACCAAAACAUUCAAGCUGUCACAGUAUGAGCUUGACCAGAUGGACACCCCAGACAAGUACCCUGACCUGUUCUCUGUCUCGGUGGAGCUUGCAGUAUCACCAAAUGAUCGACCACAGGCAGAAAAGCAGUAUCCUUGGUUCAAAUUCAGUACAGAAAAACUCACCCCGAGAAUUCUGUUUUCUGGGAAGGAUGAAUUGCAUCAGGCAUUAUCAGAAUUUGGUGCUUCAGAAAGAGCCAAAUCUCGUUUAAGUCGAACAUCUAGCUUGAAUUCUGAGAGUCCAUCAGACAGUCCUCUUCAUCAACCAUCAACACCUAGCAAGAAACCUGCAUCAACACCCGAGACUGCUCGCAAACAGGCCAGUGAGCCGAAGAGUCGGUCCAACUUCUUCGCAACACUUGAAUGGGACAGUGGCGCACCAACGGAAUCAGGGGAAGUAGUAGAACCCCACCAACCCACAGAAAUAGAAGUCCGGCUACUAGAUGCUAGUGAUAAUGAAGAUGAUGACUUUGUGUCUCUGUCUCGGGACCGGGCAGGAACUCAUAGCAGUAAUGGUAGUGAUAUCGGUGUGCAGGCUCCUCGAUCCCAGGAUGCAGACUUUUUUAGUGACUUCAGUGCACCUGCAUCAAGUGAUGCUACUCAAGAUUUGCUGAACAUGAAGAGUACAGGUGCUCAACAAAAUGAUCCUGUGACUGACCAGAUGGACUUACUGAAUAUGGGUAGUGAACCCUCUAACUUUGACUUACUUGGUGGCUCUGUGGAAGCGGAUGCCUCCAAUGCCCAGUCGUCUAAUGUUCAGUUUGGGGACACCUUUGAUCCCUUCCAAGAAAUGGCAUCCCGUCAGAAACCUGCAAGUCAAACCAAUGCUGCUAAGGGUUCUGGUAAAACAGAUGCUUUUGGAAGCUUUGACCCUUUCCAAAGUUGUGCCCCAACUGUAGAGAAUGGAGGCAGCGGUGCGGGUUCAGAUGAUUUUGUCUCAUUUAUGGAAAAUCAAAACCAAACAGUAGGAGGUCCUGAUGAUUUAAUGGGUAACUGGGAUGCCAGCAACAUUCUCCAAAGUGGUGGCAGUAACAGCAAUAUUCCCAAACCUGCCAAUGCUGGUGGAAUAGGCAUUGGUAUGUCUAAGAGCCACAGCUCUUCCUUCCCACAGCAAGCUGGAAUGAGUGCCCCAAUGUCUGCAUCUCAGGGUGGAGGCAUCGGACCAGUGCCAAAGGCAGAUCCAUUUGCAGACUUAGGAAAGUUGUCUGGCAUGAAAGGUAGCAGUAGUCAUGGCAAUUUCAAGAGCCAGCAGCCAAUGGGAAGUAUGCCCUCCAGACAGCAGCCAGGCCAACAGCAGGGAGUGCCAGCAUUCGGAGGUCCAGGCUCAAUGAACUGGCAAAGUGGCCGAUCAUCCCCAUUGCAUCAGCAGCAGCAGCAGCAGCAGCAACAGCAACAACAACAACAACAACAACAACAACAACAACAACAGCAGCAGCAGCAGCAGCAGCAACCUUUUGCUAAACCUAACUACAGCGCCAGUGUCAUUGGUGGAAGAGAGGACCGUGGGACUCGCAAAAGCUUUGGACCAAAACCAAAGGUGUCAACAAAUGCUUUUGAAGAUCUCCUAGGCCAGCACACCUUUUCAAAGAAAGAAAAUGAUGGUCCUAAAACUCUUGGGGACAUGAAGAAAGAAAUCAUGGCUGAAUGCAUGGACCCUGAGAAACUUCAGGUGCUAGAAUGGUCCAAAGGGAAGGAGAAGAACAUACGAGCUCUGCUGUGCUCCCUCCAGAAUGUAUUGUGGGAGGAAGAGAAGCGCUGGAAGCAGUGCGGCAUGCACGAGCUCGUCACAGCAGACCAGGUCAAGAAAGUCUACAGGAGGGCUGUGCUCUCCGUACAUCCAGACAAACUUACUGGCUCUCCACAUGAAAACCUGGCACGGAUGAUAUUCAUGGAACUCAGUGAAGCUUGGGCCCAGUUUGAAGAAGAAGGAAUGAAGUCAUUAUAUUGACAUGAGUGACGCUAGGAGAUUAUUAAUUCAAGACACCUAGAAACUGUAGGGAGGGUGAAAAUAUCCACGCUAGUUUCAUAUAAAUUAGUACCACCUAGUGUUGUCUCCCCUAGUUUCUACUGCUGCCACUAGUCCAGGAGUGAACACAAAGGCACAUUGAUAUGGUGGAUGUUGCAAAACAAGCAAUGGGUGGUGCAUAAGGCAGCAGUAGCAGGAGACUGACUGCCAUCUAGAUUGAGACUUGUGUAGAGAUGUUACUGAUAUUUGUGUAGUAACUAUGAGACAGUAAUAUAGAUGAAGUGUACUGUUCUUCACUGGGGAACUGGACAACAGUCAAAUUGUGCAAUAAUCAAAUCAUGAAGACAACAGAGAUGCAGAGGCUGCUGCCAGUACAGAUAAACAUAGAAACUCACAUAGUUCUGGGCUGUGAUAAAGAGGUAUUUAAUUUAUUGUUUAAGUGUGACAGAAUUCAUGCCUUCAUAUGUUAUAGGAUGUUUGGCUGUAAUCAGUCAAGACAUCACAACCUAACUAGCAAGACUCAUAUCCCAUUGCAAGGUGUAUUGUCAUAGCCCCAGUUUGAUUUUGCGUUUAUUUUUGUAGUUGUAACAUAUCCAGGCAUAUCCAUUAAGUUGUUCCAUGAAACGUUGCUAGUUUCUUCUAUAACUUACCAGACAGAUUUUGUUUCAUUUCUGCAACAUUUGUCAUCUGGAUGCAGUACAUACACUUGGACAGCAUUGGUAUCUGAUCAGGCACACAGAGGUGGUCACCUGACAGUACCAAGUGUCUGAUCAAGUGGUCUCCUGACAGUACCAAGUGUCUGAUCAAGUUGUCUCCUGACAGUACCAAGUGUCUGAUCAGGUGAUCUCCUGACAGUACCAAGUGUCUGAUCAGGUGGUCUCCUGACAGUACCAAGUGUCUGAUCAGGUGGUCUCCUGACAGUACCAAGUGUCUGAUCAGGCACGCAGUGGUGGUCUCCUGACAGUACCAAGUGUCUGAUCAGGUGGUCUCCUGACAGUACCAAGUGUCUGAUCAGGCACGCAGUGGUGGUCUCCUGACAGUACCAAGUGUCUGAUCAGGCACGCAGUGGUGGUCUCCUGACAGUACCAAGUGUCUGAUCAGGUGGUCUCCUGACAUUACCAAGUGUCUGAUCAGGCACGCAGUGGUGGUCUCCUGACAGUACCAAGUGUCUGAUCAGGUGGUCUCCUGACAGUACCAAGUGUCUGAUCAGGUGGUCUCCUGACAGUACCAAGUGUCUGAUCAGGUGGUCUCCUGACAGUACCAAGUGUCUGAUCAGGUGGUCUCCUGACAGUACCAAGUGUCUGAUCAGGCACACAGGGGUGGUCUCCUGACAGUACCAAGUGUCUGAUCAGGUGGUCUCCUGACAUUACCAAGUGUCUGAUCAGGCACGCAGUGGUGGUCUCCUGACAGUACCAAGUGUCUGAUCAGGUGGUCUCCUGACAGUACCAAGUGUCUGAUCAGGCACGCAGUGGUGGUCUCCUGACAGUACCAAGUGUCUGAUCAGGUGGUCUCCUGACAUUACCAAGUGUCUGAUCAGGCACGCAGUGGUGGUCUCCUGACAGUACCAAGUGUCUGAUCAGGUGGUCUCCUGACAGUACCAAGUGUCUGAUCAGGUGGUCUCCUGACAGUACCAAGUGUCUGAUCAGGUGGUCUCCUGACAGUACCAAGUGUCUGAUCAGGUGGUCUCCUGACAGUACCAAGUGUCUGAUCAGGUGGUCUCCUUACAGUACCAAGUGUCUGAUCAGGUGAUCUCCUGACAGUACCAAGUGUCUGAUCAGGCAUGCAUUGGUGGUCUCCUGACAGUACCAAGUGUCUGAUCAAGUGAUCUCCUGACAGUACCAAGUGUCUGAUCAGGUGAUCUCCUGACAGUACCAAGUGUCUGAUCAGGCACGCAGUGGUGGUCUCCUGACUGCAAAGUCAGCCACCAGAUGUGCUCUUUAAAUGUCCAACAUGACCAUCAUCAAGGUCCCCGGGUUUCUAGGUUUACAGUGUGUUGUCAGAAUGUACAGUUGCCAUCGGGCAUUGUUAGCAUGUAGCUUUCCUCACUUGCCACAUGUUGUUCUCACAUUAAGCAGUGAAACGUGUCAGCUUGCAUGAUUAAUGUUGUCAGAGCAGCUGUGACCCAGUUACAUUAGAACAAUCCUACUGUGGGACCAACUUGUUUGUAUGUUGUUCCUGCCUCAACAACAUUCCAAAUCUGUGCUCGUACCAAAUGUAUUGUCAAGGUCACAGGUAGAAUCCAAAUACCUUGCGGGGAGAUUUGAUGUUUACUUUAUUUCCAUUGUUAGCAUCACACAAGUAUUCUUCCUAGAGUGUGCAUUGUAUUUGUGAUACAACAUUGUAACAGCAUUUUUCCCUGCUAAAUCAUACAAACAGCGAGUAUUUCAAACAUAUCGAUUAGUUCAUAUAAUGAAACUUAACUAAGUAGUGUUAUUGAAGUAAUUACCAUAUCUAUCAAAAUAUCCAUAUUCCAGCCCUAUUGCCAUAUCUCCAGUGGUUGACAUAGCAAUGUCGUGACAGCAGUUGGUUCAUGGAGUUGUGUGGUAAGGAGAUACUUGUUGGCUAGCGUACAGAGACCAGCUGUACAUUCAGUGGCUGGUAUUGGUCUUAAUGGCAAUGUGUUGGCACUUUGCACAGUGUAGGAUACCUUUGAAAUGGUGAUGUCACUAUAUAUGGAAAUAUAUGGCUGUUAAAUAAACACUAAUGAGAUAGGACCCCCAGAAAGUGCAAACCAUGUCUCCCACCUUAUGUUCAUGUUCAGUGUGCCAGGGCAACUUGACACUUCUUGUCAUGCUUUUGUGCAAUUCUUCUCCACUAUGAUGCUAACUCUUGGAAUGGUAUCAUCUUAACAUGAUUUUAAGUUGUUUUUAUAUGUAUAUAAUGCAUGUUUUAUUUCUGUGUACGCCAAAAAGUGAAACCCUACGUGAACACUGUUAGCCUGUUGUACAAUCUGACAUUGUGAGUUCUCGGUCAUGGAGUGUCGUCUUGUUCACACCAGAACCCAACUGCACUAGUCCAUAUCAAUCAAAUACAUUCCUAACUGAAAACAGCAACUUUUCUUUCCAUCCUGAUUGUAGGCAGUGUGACCCUCUGUGACUGUCCAGCACAGAUACUGGGGCUAUUUCAGAAGAACCAGCUUCUCCAUGUUACCUAUGCAUUGUUUUAUCAAGCAGUAUUUCUUGUGUACAUAGACACCACUGACUGUAUAUAGAGCAGGUAAAACUGAUGAUCUAAGCAUUUUUAGACUAUAUUGUAUAUGAUUUCUUUCCCCAUCCAGCUGUAACAUUGCUCAUUUAUGAUGUAAAUUUAUUUGAACAUUCUGAUGAGUUGAGACAUGUGAUAACCUUGUAUUUGUCAUUUACCUCGUCUCCUGCCUGUUUUACCAAUAUUUUCAGGAACAUUAUCAUUCCCAUGCUAUGUACAAAUCAUGGUUUUCUGACUGUUACAGCACUAUUAUUGUUUAUGACUGCGGUGCCAUGGUCCACGGUUUCCUGAGGGUGGGCUUCGUCAGGGUUUUGUCAAUCAAUACCAACCAUACUUUGAUCUCGUUUCUAUGAAAUCAUACUUGGUUGUGUUUGCUUACUGCACGAGCUGUUCCUCAGGUUGUCAGCAGUGCGGCAAGUUAUGUCCAUGUCGUACACGAUAUUCUGCCAGCUCUACCCCUGGUGGGGGGGGGGAAAGGGGUGUUAGUGUGCCAGCUGGGUCAUGUUGGGAAUACAGAGACAUGAUUAGGGUCACUUAAAGUUCACCACACCUGGUGCUUGAUGGAAGUACAGUGGACUGUGUCCUAUUAUCUACAGAGAUUCAUUCUUAGGUAUAUUGCAGAUUGUACUGGUAUACGUUUUUUUUAUGUAAAGAAAAAUAUUACUUAAAAAUUUCAAACUUGACAUUUUUUGGAUUUGAAGAAAACAAUGGCGGUCAUAUACUUUAACAUUGACUAAGAAAAAUAAUUAUUGUUCUAAAAUGUGUCAAUAUAUUUGGUUCAAAACAAUCUCAAUGAAAAAGGUUCAGUGGACUUGUUGUGGAGGGUGUCUCUGUAUUCGUAAUUGGCGGAGGUCGAAGUACAUGGCAGUCAAGUCUCAGAAAGAUUGGGUCUUCAUUUGUCAUGGCAACUGGAUUGCUGUUGGGAGACCUGUAGAUUUAUUAACAGACUGUCCACUGUGAUGUAUAUUCAUUGUUAACAAUUAGGAGACAGUUAUGCAGCAUGUGAUGUUGUUGACUAGUGUUAUGAUCUUAUGAGAACAUUUUAGCCAAAUUGUGUUGUAUCAUUAAGAAGUAUAGGAGAAUUUAAAAUUGUUUUAAAACAUAAAAUAAGAGUAUGCAUAAUGAGCACUAUCAUAGAAAUAAAUGAUGUAACAGUU